rnacentral:rRNA from 1 species
AAUAGAUACCCCGGUAGUCCACCCCGUAAACGUUCGGUACUAGUUGUGGGUCCUUUCCCACCGGAUUCCGUGACGCAGCUAACGCAUUAAGGUUCCCCGCCUGGGGAGUACGGCCGCAAGGCUAAAACUCAAAGGAAUUGACGGGGACCCGCACAAGCGGCGGAGCAUGCGGAUUAAUUCGAUGCAACGCGAAGAACCUUACCAAGGCUUGACAUACACCAGAACACCCUAGAAAUAGGGGACUCUUUGGACACUGGUGAACAGGUGGUGCAUGGUUGUCGUCAGCUCGUGUCGUGAGAUGUUGGGUUAAGUCCCGCAACGAGCGCAACCCUCGUUCUAUGUUGCCAGCACGUAAUGGUGGGAACUCAUGGGAUACUGCCGGGGUCAACUCGGAGGAAGGUGGGGAUGACGUCAAAUCAUCAUGCCCCUUAUGUCUUGGGCUUCACGCAUGCUACAAUGGCCGGUACAAAGGGCUGCAAUACCGUGAGGUGGAGCGAAUCCCAAAAAGCCGGUCCCAGUUCGGAUUGAGGUCUGCAACUCGACCUCA